UAGCCUACCAUGUAGAGGUGACACCAUGAUCAUGAUGUCACCUUCUCAGUGAGGCUUUCCCAUUGCAUCUGGAUGUGCUGCCCCGUGUGCUACUCAAAUGCGGGGAAUUCCACCACACAAUUUGCCAUCUUGAGGGACUGCACUCUCGCUCACACGGU
rnacentral:snRNA from 1 species